GAUGAACGCUGGCGGCGUGCCUAAUACAUGCAAGUCGAGCGAACAGACGAGGAUCUUGCUGCUCUGACGUGAGGGGCGGAGGGGUGAGUAACACGUGUAUAACCUACCUAUAAGAGUGGGAUAACUUCGGGAAACCGGAGCUAAUACCGGAUGAGAUAUUGAAGCGCAGGGUGGAAUAGUGAAAUACGGUUGUGCUGGCAGGUAUCGAUGGAUCUGCGCCGCUUUGUGUGGUUGGGAAGGUAAAGGGUUACCAAGGCAACGAUGCGUAGCCGAGCGGAGAGGGGGAUAGCCCACAUUGGAACUGAGACACGGUCCAGACUCCUACGGGAGGCAGCAGUAGGGAAUCGGCCGCAAUGGGGGAAAGCCUGACGGAGCAACGCCGAGUGAGUGAUGAAGGUCUUCGGAUCGUAAAACUCUGUUAUUAGGGAAGAACAAAUGUGUAAGUAAAUAUGGACGUCUUGACGGUACCUAAUAAGAAAGCAACGGCUAACUACGUG
rnacentral:rRNA from 1 species